GCAAGUCGAACGCGAACGUUUCUUCGGAAGCAAGUAGAGUGGCGGACGGGGGAGGAACGCGUAAGAAUAUACCUAGUAGUGGGGGAUAACAUGGAGAAAUUCAUGCUAAUACCGCAUACGUCCCACGGGAUAAAGAGGGCCUCUUCUUGAAAGCUCUUGCUAUUAGAUUAGCCUGCGUCGGAUUAGCUUGUUGGUGGGGUAAUGGCCUACCAAGGCAACGAUCCGUAGCUGGUCUGAGAGGAUGAUC
rnacentral:rRNA from 1 species